rnacentral:lncRNA from 1 species
AUACUUGGAUUACCCAGUCUUUCCGCAGACGAGACCAGGUUACUGGGAUCCUCAUCUCACUUGGGCUUAUGCCAAACAUGUAAAAUUUGGUGCAGGUGCCUGAGCCUUAAUUCUUCAAGGUGUCGACCUUUUAGCCGAUGCCGUAGCUGCUACAGUGGGGCCGAAGGGAAGAACUGUGAUUAUUGAAUGAAGCUAGGGAAGUCCCAGAGUAACAAAAGAUGGUGUGACUGUUACAAAGUCAAUUGGCUUCAAGGAUAAAUGUAAAAAUAUUGGAGCUAAGCUUGUUGCCAGUAACACUAAGAUGUUGCCAGUAACACAAAUGAAGAGGCUGGGGAUGGCACCACCACUGCUACUGUACUUGCACUCCCUAUGGUCAAGAAAGUCUUCGAGAAGAUUACCAGAGGUGCUAAUCCAGUGAAAAUCAGGAAAGGUAUGAUGUUAGCUAUUGAUGCUCUAAUUGCUGAACUUAAGAAGCAGUCCAAACCUAUGACAACUCUUGAAGAAAUUAUUCAGUUUGCUAUAAUUUCUGCAAAUAGAGACAAAUCAGCAACAUCAUUUCUGAAGCAGUGAAAAGGGUUGUCAUCACAGUAAACGGUGGAAAAACACUGAAUGGUGCGUUAGAAUCACCAGAUCUAAUUUUUGUGUACCUUAUUAAUACAUCAAAAUUUUUGCAUAUCUUAUUAAUGUAUCGAAUAAUUAGGCUAAAUUUUUGCAUAACUUAUUGAUACAUCAGAAGGUCAACAACAUGAAUUCAAGGAUGCCUAUGUUCUGUUGAGUGAAACAGAAAUGUCUAGUGCCCAGUCUAUUGUACCUACUCUUGAAAUUGCCAGUGCUCAGUAUACACCUUUGGUUGUCAUUGCUGAAGAUGUUGAUGGAGAAGCUCUAUGAACCUUCCUUUUGAAUAGGCUAAAAGCUGGUCCUCAGGUUAUAGCAGUAAAAGCUCCAGGUUUGUUGACAAUAGAAAGAACCAGCUUAAAGAUAUGGCUCUUGCUGUUGGUGGUGCAGUGUUUGGAGAAGGGGGUAGGCCUCAUAACACAGGAAAAGUUGGAGAGGUCAUUGGGACCAAAGGUGAUGCUAUGCUCUUUAAAGGAAAUGGUGACAAGUCUUGAAUUGAAAAUUGUAUUCAAGAAAUCAUUGAGCAGUUAGAUAUCACAGCUAGUGAAUAUGAAAAGGGAAAAGUGAAUGAAUGGCAAAACUUUAAAAUGGAGUAGCUGUGCUGAAGGUUGGUGUAACAAGUGAUGUCAAAACUAAUGAAAAGAAAGACAGAGUUACAGAUGCCCUUAAUGCUAUAAGAGCUGCUACUGAAGAAGACAUCAUUCUGGGAUGGGGUUGUGCCUUGCUUCAGUUCAUUCCAGCCUUGGACUCAUUAACUCCAACUAAUAAAAAUAAAAAAUUGGUAUAGAAAUUAUUAAAAGAAUAUUCAACAUUCUGGCAGUGACCACUGCUAAGAAUGCAGGUGUUGAAGGAUCUUUGGUAGUUACAACAAUUGUGCAGCGUUCCUCAGAAGUUGGUUAUGAGCUAUGGUUGGGGGUUUUGUGAAUAUGGUGGAAGAGGAAUCAUUGGCCCAACGAAGGAUGUGAGAACUGCUUUAUUAGAUGCUGCUUGGGUGGCUUCUCCAUUAAUUACAGCAGAAGUCACAGAAAUUCCUAAAGAAGAGAAGGACCCUGGAAUGGGUGCGGUAGGUGGGAUGGGAGGUGGCAUU